rnacentral:tRNA from 1 species
GGAGAGGUGGCUGAGUGGUCGAAGGCGCUCGCCUGGAAAGUGAGUGAACGGGUAACCGUUCCAAGGGUUCAAAUCCCUUCCUCUCCGCCA